ensembl:lncRNA
UAGUAAUAAAAAUUGUAUACAAACAGAAACAGUAAAUUGUCAUAAUCUUUUAUAUUUUAAGACUCAUAAAUUUAACCAACUUUCAUUUAAUGAUGAUUUUGUUUCAAAAACAUUCUUAACGUAUCCAUAUAUAUAUAAAAUAUGCAUUUCUCAAUCAGAUUAUAUAAUUAAAAUUGGUAUAAAAAAAAAAAAAAAAAAAAAAAAAAAAAAAGGAAGUCAGAACAAAGAAGAUAUAAAAAAAGAUUUUACAAAUUUAGUUUCUAAUUAUAUGGAAAAAGUAAAAAACGAAAAUGAGAGUAAAGAUAUGAACGAUUCAGAAAAAGCUAAACGUAAUAUAAUAAACAAUAAUUUGAACAAUGUUAGUAGCAAUUCCAAUAGUUAUAGUACUACUAGUGGAGACCAUAAAGAACGAUAUCGAGUGACAAUCGGAAAGGUUAUAUGCCUAGUCGUUCGAAUCAAAUAUGAUGAGUAUUAUUGUUUAAAAAAAUUAUUAAAAAAAAGAAUGAACAUUCAAAAAGAAGAAAUCAAAAACAAUACGCUAUAUGCAAAUGAAGAGGUACAAGGUAUACCAAAUGCUUAUUUAGAUUAUUGUAUAAGUAGUCAAUAUACACAUAAAAUGAAAAAAAUGUUAUUAACGGUUAAUACUGAAGAUGAAACUAUUACGCCAACGGUAACAGCAACAGCAACAGCAACAGCAACAGCAACGGCAGCGGCAGCGGCAACGCCAACCAUAGCCAAUAAUACACAGCGUAAUGAAAAAUUAAUUAGAAAAAAUAAUAAACUAAUUCAAUCUGUUAAAGCACAUGCAAAAUACUAUAAAUUGAUAUUACUACAUGAACAUAGUAAAAAAGAAUUUGGUUAUUAUAUUUUUGAGCACAGUGAAGAGGUACAAUGUAUAUCAUUCGGUUAUUUAAAUAACAAAGAAUAUAUUUAUAUAGGGACAAGCUUAAAUAUUAAUGAAAGAAUAGAGACACAAGGUAAUAUUUAUAUUCUAGAUUUUAGUAAUAUAUUUAUAAAGUAUGAUGAAAAUGUCAACAUGCAUGAUUUAUUUGUGGAUCUUUAUACGGAUGAAAAAAAACGUACUACCAAUUGGACGACUAUAAAUGGGACGACUAUAAAUGGGGCUACUAUUAAUGGUGCUAUUAUUAAUGAGGCUACUAUUAAUGGUGCUACUAUUAAUGGGGCUACUAUUAAUGGGGCUACUAUUAAUGGGGCUACUAUUAAUGGAACAUGUGUUGAUAAUGUUAAUGCGAAACAUGUUGAGGAAAUAAAUAAACAUAAUGGUGGUGGUGUUGUCACUGAUAUUGGUACUAUUAUUAACACUAACACAACAUGUGACGACAAUGACAAUGACAAGAGUAUGAUGUGGUGUACCGGAAAUGGUAUCAAAAAUAACAGUGAUGAUGAAAACAGUCUAAACAAACAAGAACUUAACAAAGAGGGUAAAAAAAGAAAAGGUGUUAAAAAAGGAAAGCUAGUUGUAUAUAUGAAAAAAACAUAUAACAGCUCUGUUACUCAAAUUCAACCAUAUUAUUUUUUUGAAAAUAGUAAUAAAAGUAUGAAAGAUCUUGAUAGUAACAACCAUAGUAGUGACAUUAACAAUAACAAUUAUAAUGACAGUAAUAAUAAAAACAACAUAGGUAACAAAAAAGGGUUAUACUAUUGUAAUAAUUAUUAUGGUAACAUUCUUCAUAGUAUCAAUUCGAAAAUAUUUAUUCAUGAAGUUAAUGAUAAUGAUUUUACAAAAGGUGCUUUUAUAGAUACCAAUUUUUAUAUUAGCGACAUUAAAAUAAUAAAAAAUUUUAUUAUAGUAGCAGAUUUAUAUAAAGGUAUUUAUAUAAAUAUGUAUAAUUAUGAACAUCAUUAUGAUAGUCGUAGUAUCAUACCAAUUUCUAAAACUGUUUAUAAUAAUAAUUUAAAUAUUUUAUGUUGCCAUUAUAUUGUUUUUGAGUCUUUUAUUUCUAUUGUUGCAAUGGACAUAUACAAUAACAUAUUAGUAUUUUCACAUAAAAAUAAUAAAGAUAUCGACCACUUAUUCAUAUUUAAUUAUUUUAAUUUUAAUAAAAGAGUUCUUAAAUUUAUCAAUGUACCACAUGAAAAUCAAAAAUCGAAUGCAGCUUUAUCACUCGCGAAUGAUGGUAGUGUUUAUUUAUUUCAACCUGUACAUAAUAAAACUUUUAUUUUUUUUAAAGAAAUUUAUAAAAUUGUAAAAAAAUAUAUUUUCCCCAAUUUAGCCAUGCAUGUUUACGCUGAUUUGAAACCGGAUAUUUUCGUUCAGUCAAUUGUGUUAAAUCUGUACAAAAAAAAUGACACUUUUUUGUUAAAAAAUAUUUUAUUUGAUGACUUGUUAAGGUAAAAAAAAUGACUAGCUAUUAUAGAUAGCCAAAGGGAUAGAUAAAUCUACCCUUUAAAAAAAAUGGAAAAUGGAAAGAUAAAAAAAAAAAAAAAAAAAAAAAAAAAAUAUACAUGCACACACACACACACACACACACAUACAUACAUACAUACAUACAUACAUACACACAUACAUACAUACAUACAUACAUACACACAUACAUACAUACACACACACAUACACACACACACAUACACAUACACAUAUACUCAUAUGUGCUCAUAGC